rnacentral:rRNA from 1 species
AUGAUACGUUGUCAAGGCCAUUUGCAGGUUUAUAUAAGCAUUUGGUUAGCAACCUCAUAUUAUAUAGUAUCUGUUGAUUUAACUAUCUCUAUCUUUUUUCCCAGGUUUUGGUUAUCCAUUGCUUACAUGAUGAUAUUUAGACCAAUUGUAAAGUUGCAUCUCCACAUACUGAACACAAUGCAAGGUUGCUUUUCAAUCAUAACUAGAUUUCUUUUUCUUUUACAGCCUAUCGAUCACAAGAUUUAUCAUUUCUGGAUAAACUACUUGAGUGGCAUAACAACAUUGUGUAUUAAUCAAAUUUAUAUAUUUGUGGUCAACAUUUAA